rnacentral:rRNA from 1 species
UACGUAGGGUGCAAGCGUUGUCCGGAAUUAUUGGACGUAAAGAGCUCGUAGGCGGUUUGUCGCGUCUGCUGUGAAAAUCCAGGGCUUAACCCUGGACCUGCAGUGGGUACGGGCAGACUGGAGUGCGGUAGGGGAGAUCGGAAUUCCUGGUGUAGCGGUGAAAUGCGCAGAUAUCAGGAGGAACACCGGUGGCGAAGGCGGAUCUCUGGGCCGUAACUGACGCUGAGGAGCGAAAGCAUGGGGAGCGAACAGG